UAGAUAUAGAGAGCAGAAUCCAAGCAAAGAUAUUAUUUUCUAGGUUUCCUUCAAAUAUGACUUUUAGGAGCCAAAAAGAAAAAAAAAAUCUGGCAGAAGUCAAAUUCAACUUUUUGAAUUUCAAACGUAAUAAAAGUUUGAAUUAGGCUGAAAUUUCAUUACAACACCCUCCCCAAGACUUGUCUAUCAUCAGCAAUAAGACGCUGAGAGGAGCAGCUGCACAUGAUGGAAGUCUCCUUUCCAUGUAGCUGUGGCAGAGCUGCUUGGGCCAGGACUGAAUCUAGCAACAGCCGUAGCAAGGAAUGAAAGGCGGAGCCACUGAGUGACACUUGAUGAACUGUUGGUGCAAUGGAAGCUGCUGUCAGGUCCCUCUGCAGAGAGUAUUAAUUACCUCCCUCACACCUUGACUAAUGAACAGAAGAUGCUCCUUGAGCUGGCUUUGCACAGGAAAAACGGGUGCCUGCCUGGAACACUUCCUAGGAACAAUUAAAGGAUUAUUAGAGUAGAUACACUUGACUUCCUCUAGUAAAUGUGAAGAAAUAAAAGGGAUUUUAUCCAGACCUCCA